UCCGCCCCGCCCGCGCCCGCGCCUGCGUCACAGACGGUGGUGUCACGCGCGCAGUUCGCGCCCAGGAAGGAGGCCACGCCCCCAACGCCUAUCAAACGCGAAGUCCCGCCCGCCGCAGACAAAUACCCAGUGGAAUCCCUUCUGGCUCAAAAAGCCACGCCCCUCCUAUCGAGGGCGCGCCUUGGAGGGGUGGAAAGUGCCCGGGGGCGUGGCCACAGUAUGCCCCUCCCCUCGCAGCCUGUUUCCAAACUUGGUAGAAAUAGGACUGUGCAGCUGCUUUGCUGUGUGCCCUGCACAAGUCCCAUGGGCUCUCCGACCCUCAGUUUCCUCAUCUGUAGAACACGCCUGGUGAUCCAAUCUUCAGGACGUGGUUGCAAUCCCAUUGUGAUAUGUCACAGCAAGUGUUACCGCGGGUGUUCGCGACGACACACCGAGCGGCACACGGAGAGUCAGUCGGAGAAUCGGAGGUAAUUAGCCGGCGGGCUCAGGGGGGCCUCACCAAAUUCUGAGCGUCAUCUACCUGAUUUUUGCCCACUUUUAUAAAGUUGGGGUGGCUCGAGGGGUGGGGUAUCAGGUGUAGGUUAGUUGAUGUGUCAGAUAAUAAGUUAAUUUUAUGUUGACGCGCCAGGCGAUAGAUUCAGUGUUAUGCUGAUGCCAGGCAGUAGACUAGUUGCGGGGCCAGAAAACAGGUUAGUGUUAUGCUGAUGUGGGUCUUCCGUGAGGGGUGGGGUCUCCGUGCCUGAUGCCCAAGCUCCCUCAUCAAUAAAACAAGACAUUGACUUAU